rnacentral:rRNA from 1 species
AUUGAACGCUGGCGGCAGGCCUAACACAUGCAAGUCGAGCGGAUGAAGAGAGCUUGCUCAUGGAUUCAGCGGCGGACGGGUGGGUAAUGCCUAGGAAUCUGCCUGGUAGUGGGGGAUAACGUCCGGAAACGGGCGCUAAUACCGCAUACGUCCUGAGGGAGAAAGUGGGGGAUCUUCGGACCUCACGCUAUCAGAUGAGCCUAGGUCGGAUUAGCUAGUUGGUGGGGUAAAGGCCUACCAAGGCGACGAUCCGUAACUGGUCUGAGAGGAUGAUCAGUCACACUGGAACUGAGACACGGUCCAGACUCCUACGGGAGGCAGCAGUGGGGAAUAUUGGACAAUGGGCGAAAGCCUGAUCCAGCCAUGCCGCGUGUGUGAAGAAGGUCUUCGGAUUGUAAAGCACUUUAAGUUGGGAGGAAGGGCAGUAAGUUAAUACCUUGCUGUUUUGACGUUACCAACAGAAUAAGCACCGGCUAACUUCGUG